rnacentral:rRNA from 1 species
CCUUAAUGGAGAGUUUGAUCCUGGCUCAGGACGAACGCUGGCGGCGUGCCUAAUACAUGCAAGUCGAGCGGAUUGUUCCUUCGGGAACAGUUAGCGGCGGACGGGUGAGUAACACGUAGGCAACCUGCCUGCAGGAUCGGGAUAACUACCGGAAACGGUAGCUAAGACCGGAUAAG